rnacentral:rRNA from 1 species
AGACCCGAAACCCGGUGAUCUAGCCAUGGGCAGGUUGAAGGUUGGGUAACACUAACUGGAGGACCGAACCGACUAAUGUUGAAAAAUUAGCGGAUGACCUGUGGCUGGGGGUGAAAGGCCAAUCAAACCGGGAGAUAGCUGGUUCUCCCCGAAAGCUAUUUAGGUAGCGCCUCGUGAAUUCAUCUCCGGGGGUAGAGCACUGUUUCGGCUAGGGGGCCAUCCCGGCUUACCAACCCGAUGCAAACUGCGAAUACCGGAGAAUGUUAUCACGGGAGACACACGGCGGGUGCUAACGUCCGUCGUGAAGAGGGAAACAACCCAGACCGCCAGCUAAGGUCCCAAAGUCAUGGUUAAGUGGGAAACGAUGUGGGAAGGCCCAGACAGCCAGGAUGUUGGCUUAGAAGCAGCCAUCAUUUAAAGAAAGCGUAAUAGCUCACUGGUCGAGUCGGCCUGCGCGGAAGAUGUAACGGGGCUAAACCAUGCACCGAAGCUGCGGCAGCGACGCUUAUGCGUUGUUGGGUAGGGGAGCGUUCUGUAAGCCUGUGAAGGUGUGUCGUGAGGCAUGCUGGAGGUAUCAGAAGUGCGAAUGCUGACAUAAGUAACGAUAAAGCGGGUGAAAAGCCCGCUCGCCGGAAGACCAAGGGUUCCUGUCCAACGUUAAUCGGGGCAGGGUGAGUCGACCCCUAAGGCGAGGCCGAAAGGCGUAGUCGAUGGGAAACGGGUUAAUAUUCCCGUACUUGGUGUUACUGCGAAGGGGGGACGGAGAAGGCUAUGUUGGCCGGGCGACGGUUGUCCCGGUUUAAGCGUGUAGGUGUGUGUUCCAGGUAAAUCCGGUUCACUUUAACACUGAGGCGUGAUGACGAGGCACUACGGUGCUGAAGCAACAAAUGCCCUGCUUCCAGGAAAAGCCUCUAAGCAUCAGGUAACAUCAAAUCGUACCCCAAACCGACACAGGUGGUCAGGUAGAGAAUACCAAGGCGCUUGAGAGAACUCGGGUGAAGGAACUAGGCAAAAUGGUGCCGUAACUUCGGGAGAAGGCACGCUGAUAUGUAGGUGAAGUGAUUUACUCA